AUCUAAUUAAAAUUAAUAAUAAUAAUUCUUUCUAACAUGGUUCUUAUUCUCAGCAGAAUAGUAUAGCAAUUCUCCUGUAAGAGCCAGACAUACCAGUACAGUUCUUGUCUCUGAGUAAGCAGAGGAUGAGAUCAGCUCUCCUUUCUUAAUGACAAGAUACUCUUAGACUUGACAGAAUGAAUGACGGCCAAGAAACAAAGAGGAGGAAGCAAAGAAGACAUUGAAAUUCUUCUUUUCCAGUGUGUGCCCAUUGCUUAUUGUCCUGGUACUGGAAACUAGUGAAAGGAGUCUGGCUCCACCCUCUUUUACUUCUCUGCAGGUAUACGUAGACACUGAUCAGAUUCCCCUGUGUCUCCUCUUCUCCCGGCUGAGCAGCCUCAGCUCUCUCAGCUUCUCCUCACAGGAGAGGUGCUCCAGUCCCCAGCUUAGGGGCUCCAGAAAGACAACGCCCACUGUUUGGCCCUCAUUUAUCAGGCUGAUGAUUUCAUUAGGGAAGCUUAUCAGGUUUAUCAGGCAUAAUUUCUUCCUUGUGAAUUGAUGCUGACCACAACUGAUAUUUUUCGUCUCUUUUCUAUGCCUGGAAAUGGUUUCCAAGACUAGCUUUUUCCAUCACCUUCCCAGAGACUGAGGUUGGAUAUAUCCCUUUGCUCAAAGAAAUGGCUUGUUCUCUGCUCCUGAGAUAUUGGUGAAAAGCUGUAAUUAAGGACCCUGAUAAUAGUACAUGGAUUCUAUUGGCGAUAAAGUAUCAUACAAGAACCGGAUGAAAUAUCUACCCUAGCAAACAGUCCUGCUGAUUGAGUGGCUCAACUCGGACAAUGGG
ensembl:lncRNA